AUUAAGCCAUGCAUGUCUAAGUAUAAGCAAUUAUACAGCGAAACUGCGAAUGGCUCAUUAUAUAAGUUAUCGUUUAUUUGAUAGUACCUUACUACUUGGAUAACCGUGGUAAUUCUAGAGCUAAUACAUGCUAAAAAUCCCGACUUCGGAAGGGAUGUAUUUAUUAGAUUAAAAACCAAUGCCCUCUGGGCUCUCUGGUGAUUCAUGAUAACUUCUCGAAUCGCAUGGCCUUGCGCCGGCGAUGGUUCAUUCAAAUUUCUUCCCUAUCAACUUUCGAUGUUUGGGUAUUGGCCAAACAUGGUCGCAACGGGUAACGGAGGGUUAGGGCUCGACCCCGGAGAAGGAGCCUGAGAAACGGCUACUACAUCCAAGGAAGGCAGCAGGCGCGCAAAUUACCCAAUCCCGACACGGGGAGGUAGUGACAAUAAAUACUGAUACAGGGCUCUUUCGGGUCUUGUAAUUGGAAUGAGUACAAUUUAAAUCCCUUAACGAGGAACAAUUGGAGGGCAAGUCUGGUGCCAGCAGCCGCGGUAAUUCCAGCUCCAAUAGCGUAUAUUAAAGUUGUUGUGGUUAAAAAGCUCGUAGUUGAACCUUGGGCCUGGCUGGCCGGUCCGCCUCACCGCGUGUACUGGUCCGGCCGGGCCUUUCCCUCUGUGGAACCUCAUGCCCUUCACUGGGCGUGACGGGGAAACAGGACUUUUACUGUGAAAAAAUUAGAGUGCUCCAGGCAGGCCUAUGCUCGAAUACAUUAGCAUGGAAUAAUGAAAUAGGACGUGCGGUUCUAUUUUGUUGGUUUCUAGGACCGCCGUAAUGAUUAAUAGGGACAGUCGGGGGGCAUCAGUAUUCAAUUGUCAGAGGUGAAAUUCUUGGAUUUAUUGAAGACUAACUACUGCGAAAGCAUUUGCCAAGGAUG
rnacentral:rRNA from 1 species